GACGAACGCUGGCGGCGUGCUUAACACAUGCAAGUCGAGCGGUAAGGCCCCUUCGGGGGUACACGAGCGGCGAACGGGUGAGUAACACGUGAGCAAUCUGCCCAUCACAUCGGGAUAACUCCGGGAAACCGAAGUUAAUACCGAAUACGACCACCUCCAGCACCAGAUGGUGGUGGCAAGUUCCGGCGGUGAAGGAUGAGCUCGCGGCCUAGCAGCUUGUUGGGGGGGUAACGGCCCACCAAGGCUUCGACGGGUAGCCGGCCUGAGAGGGUGACCGGCCACACUGGGACUGGGACACGGCCCAGACUCCUACGGGAGGCAGCAGUGGGGAAUAUUGGACAAUGGGCGAAAGCCUGAUCCAGCAACGCCGCGUGAGGGAUGACGGCCUUCGGGUUGUAAACCUCUUUCAGCAGGGACGAAGCGCAAGUGACGGUACCUGCAGAAGAAGCACCGGCCAACUACGUGCCAGCCGCCGCAGUAACAC
rnacentral:rRNA from 1 species